GAUGAACGCUGGCGGCGUGCCUAAUACAUGCAAGUCGAGCGAACAGACGAGGAGCUUGCUCCUCUGACGUUAGCGGCGGACGGGUGAGUAACACGUGGAUAACCUACCUAUAAGACUGGGAUAACUGCGGGAAACCGGAGCUAAUACCGGAUAAUAUAUUUAACCGCAUGGUUCAAUAGUGAAAGACGGUUUUGCUGUCACUUAUAGAUGUAUCCGCGCCGCAUUAGCUAGUUGGUAAGGUAACGGCUUACCAAGGCAACGAUGCGUAGCCGACCUGAGAGGGUGAUCGGCCACACUGGAACUGAGACACGGUCCAGACUCCUACGGGAGGCAGCAGUAGGGAAUCUUCCGCAAUGGGCGAAAGCCUGACGGAGCAACGCCGCGUGAGUGAUGAAGGUCUUCGGAUCGUAAAACUCUGUUAUUAGGGAAGAACAAAUGUGUAAGUAACUAUGCACGUCUUGACGGUACCUAAUCAGAAAGCCACGGCUAACUACGUG
rnacentral:rRNA from 1 species